CAAGUCUUGAAAAAAGAAGGGGCAAGACUCUUUAAUUAACCCUGGGAGAAAGGAAGAAGUGGAACCACAAGGACUGGACCUGGACAAAGACCCUCCAAAACACCUAAGUACACAGGAUGGCUACCACGGCACAGACAAGGGAAAAAUGGAUGAGAAAAGGCAGUAGUAUCCAGAUGCUUCCGCUGACACCAUGUCCACUGACCUUGAAAGGAAAUCUUCAUAUAACAGUGCAGCCUUGCUCCAGGGUAGAAUCAACUUAUCCCUAGAAGUCUCCCAAGAAUAUUGGAGAAGAUAUAGGAUUUUUUGGAGCAAUCCUAACGAUGGCCAGCAUGGAACUUCUAAACAUACCUUAAAAUUGGUCCAAGUCCCAAAAUUAUUCUCUGAAACUAAACCAGCUUCUCAAAAAUAAGAA